GCUCCCAAAGUGCUGGGAUUGCAGGCAUGAGCCACCAUACCCAGCCUUAAUAUUUAAUUUUACACAGAGCAAAAAUAAGUGAGGAAUUUAAGAAUCUUUACUGGGAUCUUUUCUUUCUUUCUUUUUAAGAGCUGGGGUUUCACCAUCUUGCCCAGACUGGUCUCAAAGCCCUGGGCUCAAGCAAUCUUUCCUUCUUGGCCUCCCAGUGUCCUGGGAUUACAGGCAUGAAUCACUCCGCCCAGCUGGAUUUUUCAGUUAAGAACACCGUUGGUGAUCUUAGGUAGAUUAGAACCAGAGAAGCAUUAGAAACAAAAGCCAAAUUCAGCCCACCAACAAAUGAGGAAUCAGAGAAGGAAAGGAAUCAGAGAAGCUUCUAGAGGCUACCCACAUUCCUGGGCUAAUGGCCCCUUCCUACAUCUUCAAAGCCAGCAGUGGUGGGCUGAGUCUUUCUCCUGGUAUCAUCUCUUCAUUCUCUAUCUCCCUCUCCCAAUUUUAAGGACCUCUGUGAUUAUAUUGGGCACCUGGAUAUUGCAGGAUACGCUCUCUAUUUUAAGGCUAUGCUCCGUAAAGAGAGUGCCUCCUCUAGAAUCACAAGACCUAAGCAUGAAUCUUCCUUUGAAGGAUAAAAUGGAAGGAAAAAAACUGGAUGAGGAAAAGAAGAGUGGGGAAUAGAAAGAGAGAGAGAGAGAAAGAUGGAUAAAUUUUUAAAGUUACUAUAAUAAAAAUCUUCUACAACGAAACUAUAAUUGUUGAUCAGCAAAUGUGAACUAAUCCUCCUCCU
rnacentral:lncRNA from 1 species